UCCGGUGUGGUGUAUCGGUAACAUACGCGCCUCUCAUUAGCCGCAACAUUUGCUUACGCGCGUGCGCGGGGUUCGAUUCCCCGCACCGGAA